CCCGCAUUGCCUCCUCCGACACCCGAGGCCGGGGCGCGCAGGUCAGCGGUCUCAUCCUAGGGUUUACCCACACUCCCCGCGCCUUGAUGGCUGAUCGAAGCUGGUCCUGGGGUGUGAGCCCUUGCGGGGAUUUUCGGUUAGAGGAGUGACGCAAAGGACUUUUUAUGAAAAGAAAGAAAUGGUAGUCAUGAACCAGUAAGGUAAAAGGAGAAAACCGGUUUGGAAAAGGGACGCCCUCGCGACUUUGAAAACCACCUCUUUAGCCAGUUUGUAAAUCCCUUAAGGAAACAGCACUGAAGAGAAUUGGAAUGCAAUCACUUAUGUCUUAUGUCUUUUUCCUUCUGGAGUUGUCCUGCGGGGCGUGGGGGCAGGGGGUGAGUCUUUGUCACCGUGUACCCAGGUCAGAUGGAGACAGGUAAAGGAAAUGCUAAUCUACCCUCCUAAUCCGUUUUCAGUCUGUGAUGCCCUUCACUAUAAACAUUUCUUGUGAGCCCUCUCCUACUAAUCUUGUGUCUUGGUUUGCUCAGGAAUAAAUAACGUUAACCCACAGACUAGGAAAAUCUGGAGUUGGGAUGCUGUGUCAUCAUUUUCCCAGUUGGUAAAUCUGUCUAUUUUAAUUCAGAAAGAAUGUUAAACCCAAAAGUUCAGAGACCAAAAAGUUCAAGAAAGAGACCUUGUCCUCUUAAAGGGAAUCACAGCCCUUGUUCUGUGAAAACCAUAAGGACACCAUCCCAAGUUCUUAGCACAAAAGGAACACUUGGUCUAAAUAUUUGGCAACUUUAAAUAAUGCUCCUAUCAAGUACCUGUUUAUCAGGAUUAGGCAUAUUUAUUCUUUGGCUUAGCUACUACAGUUACCAAAGUCUGUGUUACUAAUUGUCUAAGAGGUUGGACUCCUGAAAACCUGGAUAGUAUAUAUCAUCAUCUUCACCUGACGGAUGCAGAAACUCAAAGAGUUUUUCCAUGAAUAUCCAGUUUUCAGAGGACACAACAUCUUUGUCUGUAUGUGGUGCUGAGGAUCUAACCCGAGCCGCACGCAUGCCAGGACCCAGGAAUUUCAGCCCUGCACCAGUGGAGUCUUUGCCCAAGUCACAGGUGAAAAUCAGCUAGCUCCAGGUAUGAAGCUAAGGUUUGUCUUCUCCCAGGAGGUGGCAGCAGCAGCAGGCUCAGCCUGCUGGAGAAUCAGACAGAACUCAUCUGUUUUUCUGUUGGCAUCCAAACCUAAAAAUGCCUGGUUCCAGAGACCAUUUUAUCCCUUCUUCGGUUUGCUGAGCUUGGUUGGAGACAGGGCAUAGGGAAGGAGCUGGCACAGAUUCCUCUCUAUAAGUACCUAUUUUUUUUGGUAAAUAUUUUGAUCUGGGCUGUGACCUUGAAGCAUGUGUGAAGGAGGGUCAGGAAGUCUCUGGUCAGAGAAAAAGAGCUUCAGAGAGAAACAAACAGUAAUUGAAACACUUACAUCCGUACUAGUGUACAUCCAGAGGACACCAGCUUAUUGUUUGGUGCCACAUACAAAAAAAUAUAGACUCUGACCUCUUCCCAGCUACCAGCCAGCUGACCUUGUCAUUGAAUCUGUCGGAGCUGCAAUAUCCUUGUCCACCUACGGGUUUCUGAUGAGAAUAUUAGCAUAGGAAAUAUGCUGGUUAAAAAAAAGAGAAUUAAGGACCUGGGUUCCAGACUCAGAUCUCCCAGUGUGGAUCAGGAGAUCCUAAAGCACCUGCUAAUUCUUUUCUUUCCUUCUUCUUCUUUUUUUUUUU